AGAUCAAGGCACAUAAUGCAUAAAUCAUCCGGCUCAUCACAUAGGACUAUGAGCAGAUCACUCUCCUGUGACUCCCAAUCUAAGGGAUCUGUUUCUACUCCUCGUGGGUCCAUGAAGGUUGACUUGAGCAAACUGGAGAUGGCUGCUUUGAGGAGAUAUUGGCGACACUUUAAUCUUGUGGAUGCUAUCCCCAAUCCAUCAAAAGAGCAACUGGUAGAUAUUGUUUAGAGGCAUUUCA